AACGAACGCCGGCGGCAUGCCUAACACAUGCAAGUCGAACGAGAUCUUCGGGUCUAGUGGCGCACGGGUGCGUAACGCGUGGGAAUCUGCCCUUUGAUUCGGAAUAACAGUUGGAAGCGACUGCUAAUACCGGAUGAUGACGAAAGUCCAAAGAUUUAUCGCCAGAGGAUGAGCCCGCGUAGGAUUAGCUAGUUGGUGUGGUAAAGGCGCACCAAGGCGACGAUCCUUAGCUGGUCUGAGAGGAUGAUCAGCCACACUGGGACUGAGACACGGCCCAGACUCCUACGGGAGGCAGCAGUGGGGAAUAUUGGACAAUGGGCGAAAGCCUGAUCCAGCAAUGCCGCGUGAGUGAUGAAGGCCUUAGGGUUGUAAAGCUCUUUUACCCGGGAUGAUAAUGACAGUACCGGGAGAAUAAGCUCCGGCUAACUCCGUGCCAGCCGCCGCGGUAA
rnacentral:rRNA from 1 species